rnacentral:lncRNA from 1 species
CUGUAUUUUAUUUUGCUCCAAACAUCAGCCAACACACUUACUACAAGCAUCUGCUAGGGACAAACACACAUCGUUCAUUAAUCAUUCUUGACUGAAACCAGACAUCACAGUUGUUGCCUAGUGCAAGGCGACAGUAGGACAGAGGGGUUCUACCCUAACAUUCUCUUUUCAAGACUACAGGGACAGUCUUAUUUCCUACUUGCCUCAGUCUCCGACCCCUGGGAUAUGUGUUCCCACUCCCUAGCAGCAAGGGAAGAAUGAGUAAGUAAAUAGUACAUAGGAAAGCUGCACUGAGACACUGUUGUCCAUUUGUAGGGCAGAUGUUGGCUACCAGCAACAUAGCCAGUGCAUGUAGAAAGGGGAAAAGAAGAGAGUAGUAAGUACUCUUCUAGCUAAGUCUGUGUCUAAGCUGGUCCCUUUGGUUUGUGAGUGUCUGUGAGCUCUGAACACCGCUGUAUCCCACCUUUCCUCUGUUUCAGAAAGUAGCGUGUAGCGUGGAGAAGCAGAUACUCCCAAGCGCUCUCUUAGAGGGCCGAUUCGUUUAUUUUCAUGCCUGCUAGGGGGAGAAGUUCAGGAUGACUUUCCUGUCUUGGAUAAGCUCACAUCUGGCCUUUCCUUACAUAAAAAGCUGUUUUGAAAGACAAAUUAUUGAUUUUGAAUGAUGAGGCGGCGUCAAACAGUGCGUUCAUGUACUGCCGAAUGAUUUCUCAGUGGAAGAUAGACCUUCAUCAGGACCAUCUGCUUCAUGGUACAACGCGAUCGAUUCAUUCUGUUGUCCUGAGUCUCUUCACUCUUAGGCUGGUUCUCCAGUUGUGUUACCACAGUAACUGUAACAAUUCCCCCUCCUUUGUACCUGGAGGAGAAGACACGUAGAUUUACAGUUUUCAAAAAUAAAUAGCCCUUCCAGCCAAAUGUAGCACAACAGUCUUUUAUCCCAUAGGGACAACACUAAGGGAUCCCUCCUUAGGUGUGCAGUGCUCCUCACGUUACAGCUUUCUUUUCCAAACAGGGCAAUGAGGGACCGAUGUUUUUAAAAGCAAAUUUUUAAGCUCCUUUGUGCUAUCUCUGCCACUCUGGCACCUCUAUAAAGGAAGGACCUUUGGAUUAACCACAGACUAAGAGGAGGAGAGCUAGUUUAGCAAUCCAUGGCCAAUUUUUCCAUCUCCUGGUGCAGUGUAGCGUGUUGGAGUUCGAUCCAAUCUGCGCACUGAAUUCCAUGCCCUUGACCUCUUUGCUUUUCAUUUAUGCCUCUGUCACAGUUAGCCAGAUACCGUCAGAUAGGCCAGAAGUGAGCAGUUCCACAGUGGACGUGCUUCAGGAGGAGCCUAACGCCAGCUCUGACCAGCGAGAGCUUUUGGGAAG